ensembl:lncRNA
GUGUGUGUAGUGUAUCGUGUGUGUAGUGUAUUGUGUGUGUAGUGUAGUGUAGUGUAGUGUGUGUGUAUUGUGUGUAGUGUAUUGUGUGUGUAGUGUAUCGUGUGUGUAGUGUAUCGUGUGUGUAGUGUAUCGUGUGUGUAGUGUAUCGUGUGUGUAGUGUAUCGUGUGUGUAGUGUAUUGUGUGUGUAGUGUAUCGUGUGUGUAGUGUAUCGUGUGUGUAGUGUGUGUGUGUAUUGUGUGUGUAGUGUAGUGUAGUGUAGUGUGUGUGUAUUGUGUGUAGUGUAUUGUGUGUGUAGUGUAUCGUGUGUGUAGUGUAUCGUGUGUGUAGUGUAUUGUGUGUGUAGUGUAUUGUGUGUGUAGUGUAGUGUAUUGUGUGUGUAGUGUAUCGUGUGUGUAGUGUAUCGUGUGUGUAGUGUAUUGUGUGUGUAGUGUAUCGUGUGUGUAGUGUAUCGUGUGUGUAGUGUAUUGUGUGUGUAGUGUAUUGUGUGUGUAGUGUAGUGAAGUGUAGUGUGUGUGUAUUGUGUGUAGUGUAUUGUGUGUGUAGUGUAUCAUGUGUGUAGUGUAUCGUGUGUGUAGUGUAUCGUGUGUGUAGUGUAUUGUGUGUGUAGUGUAGUGAAGUGUAGUGUGUGUUGUAUCGUGUGUGUAGUGUAUUGUGUGUGUAGUGUAUCGUGUGUGUAGUGUAUCGUGUGUGUAGUGUAUCGUGUGUAGUGUAUCGUGUGUGUAGUGUAUUGUGUGUGUAGUGUAUCGUGUGUGUAGUGUAUCGUGUGUGUAGUGUAUCGUGUGUAGUGUAUCGUGUGUGUAGUGUAUUGUGUGUGUAGUGUAUAAGGACAAAUCCGUUUAACAUUAAACAAGAUGGUGACUGGCAGAGUGGCAGAGUGGCUAUCUCUCCCAUCUAAUCACACUCUAUUUCCACACACACACACACACACACACACACACUCACACACACACACUCUAUCCCCACAGCCUGAUCACACUCUAUCCCCACAGCCUGAUGGAGCUGCAUAGUGCUUAGUGAUGUACUACAGUGAUAGGCAGGUGAGGCAGUCGGAGGCGCUGACAAACCCUUCUUUGGUGUGUGUGUGUGUUUGUCUCUCGGUUCUCAG